CCUACGGGGGGCUGCAGUGGGGAAUAUUGGACAAUGGGGGCAACCCUGAUCCAGCCAUGCCGCGUGUGUGAAGAAGGCCCUCGGGUUGUAAAGCACUUUCAGUGAGGAAGAACGCCUGGUGGUUAAUACCCAUCAGGAAAGACAUCACUCACAGAAGAAGCACCGGCUAACUCCGUGCCAGCAGCCGCGGUAAUACGGAGGGUGCGAGCGUUAAUCGGAAUUACUGGGCGUAAAGCGCGCGUAGGUGGCUUGAUAAGCCGGUUGUGAAAGCCCCGGGCUCAACCUGGGAACGGCAUCCGGAACUGUGAAGCUAGAGUGCAGGAGAGGAAGGUAGAAUUCCCGGUGUAGCGGUGAAAUGCGUAGAGAUCGGGAGGAAUACCAGUGGCGAAGGCGGCCUUCUGGACUGACACUGACACUGAGGUGCGAAAGCGUGGGUAGCAAACAGGAUUAGAUACCCGAGUAGUC
rnacentral:rRNA from 1 species